CUUAGUGUAGAUAUUUGCUCGGGAGAUUGGUGUUUCUUUCGAUUUGCAGUAAAAACUUCCUUUUUAAGUUGGAAACGAGUAGACAUCACUGAAUGUCUGAUGUGAAGGUCACAAGGUGAGCGUCCUGACAGCGUGUGGUUCGGGAUUGUCCGGCAUGAACCUGAAGCAAAGUUUUGACGGAUCUGGUAUGCUAGAUAAACUACGAUAAACUAGAUAAAACACAGAUGUCUCUCAAGGGCCGUGGUAGAACUAAUGAUAUACAUUUUGAGGAAAGCAGGUGUAGCUGUUUGAUGUCAAGCUGUGGUCUAUUUAGCCAUUAAUCAGCGCUGUUGAUAAAUGACAGACCACCCAGAACACAAUCCUUCCAGGAAAUGACUUGGGACCUCAAUGUAAAGGAUACAGUGUGUCGUUUUCUCACUGGUAGGUGAAAUGCUGGAGACACGACAUCAAAAUAUGGACGAGAUUCGACAUGCCAAAAAUAAUCGUGGUUGUCUCCCUUUGACCACUGUGAUUGUCAUAUUAUGCAGUUUAAGGACAAGCAGGAACUGGUUGCAGUAAAAAAAGAAAUGAGGGUAUGCCAAUGCGUGCAGACGGUCUAUAAUGUAACCCUGAUCUAGAACUUACAAAGGGCUCUGUCUUGUAGGAUGUGAUCCUGUGAUGUCCAGCAAUUAUUAGAACAACAGAAAAAUCUCUUAAUCAAUGAGAAAGUAUUGGGAAGACAUAACACCAAAAUAUAAAAGGCCUUGGCUUUGUCAAACCAGCAUCCCAGUUGUGUCAGAUGUAACGAGAAUGAU